ensembl:lncRNA
UGGAAGUUGAAACUGGAGCAGCAGCAUGGCCAGGUGGACUGGGGACAGCAAGGAGUCAUCAUGUCAGGUAGUCCUGGAGCUCAGGUCCUAGGGCUCAGGUCAGUUGAAACUGGAACAGCAGCAUGGCCAGGUGGACUGGGGACAGCAAGGAGUCAUCAUGUCAGGUAGUCCUGGAGCUCAGGUCCUAGGGCUCAGGUCCUCCGAGAGAGAGAAAGAAAGAGAGAAGGAGAGAAUUAGAGAACGCACACUUAGAUUCACACAGGACACCGAAUAGGACAGGAGAAAUACUCCAGAUAUAACAAACUGACCCCAGCCCCCGACACAUAAACUACUGCAGCAUAAAUACUGGAGGCUGAUAUUAUAAUAACCCAAUGGUUUAUAUUAUAAUAACCCAAUGGUUUAUAUU